AAACAUCCUGCCAGUAGUUAUAUGCUUGUCUCAAAGAUUAAGCCAUGCAUGUCUAAGUACACACGAAUUAAAAGUGAAACCGCAAAAGUCUUAUUAUAUCAGUUAUGGUUCCUUAGAUCGUUAACAGUUACUUGGAUAACUGUGGUAAUUCUAGAGCUAAUACAUGCAAUUAAAACAUGAACCUUAUGGGACAUGUGCUUUUAUUAGGCUAAAACCAAGCGAUCGUAAGAUCGUUAUAUUGGUUGAACUCUAGAUAACAUGCAGAUCGUAUGGUCUUGUACCGACGACAGAUCUUUCAAAUGUCUGCCCUAUCAACUUUUGAUGGUAGUAUCUAGGACUUCCAUGGUUGCAACGGGUAUCGGGGAAUCAGGGUUCGAUUCCGGAGAGGGAGCCUGAGAAACGGCUACCACGUCUAAGGAAGGCAGCAGGCGCGUAAAUUACCCACUCCCAGCUCGGGGAGGUAGUGACGAAAAAUAACAAUACAGGUCUCAUAUCCGAGGCCCUGUAAUUGGAAUGAAUACACUUUAAAUCCUUUAACAAGGACCAAUUGGAAGGCAAGUCUGGUGCCAGCAGCCGCGGUAAUUCCAGCUCCAAUAGCGUAUAUUAAAGUUGUUGCGGUUAAAACGUUCGUAGUUGAACUUGUGCUUAAUACGGGUAGUACAACUUACAAUCGUGGUUAGUACUAUACCUUUAUGUAUAUAAGCGUAUUACCGGUGGAGUUCUUAUAUGUGAUUAAAUACUUGUAAUUUUUCAUAUGUUCCUGCUAUUUAAAAACCUGCACUAGUGCUCUUAAACGAGUGUUAUUGUGGGCCGGUACUAUUACUUUGAACAAAUUAGAGUGCUUAAAGCAGGCUUCAAAUGCCUGGAUAUUUCUGUGCAUGGGAUAAUGAAAAUAAGGACCUCUGUUUCUGCUUUUCAUUUGGUUUUCAGGGUCA
rnacentral:ncRNA from 1 species